ACUGAGCAUCCGCGGCUCUGCCAAGACGCGGCUGCCUUCGUAACUGACUCACCGUUACCGGAAGACAAACGACCCUGGCCCACGGGUUUCCCUCAGUGGUUUACCUAUUGAAGGAAAUGCUGCCUUGAACAUCUUUGAAUUUUUGCAUGCCCAUGACCAAGUAUUCCUGCAAAGGUUCAUUUGUUCAGCAAUCAGCCUGGUGCUCUCCUUUUGACCGGAUGAUUGUACUUUAUGUGGUUAGCGAUUUGGUGCUAUUGUCCAGCUUACUUAGUAUUGUUAGCCGGUGUGUCUCUUACAUAAUUCUUGCAGCCAGUGUAAGUACUUAACAUAAUUCUUGUAGCAGAUCAGAAGGAGACUGGAAGUCAGAGAAAUGUGCUUCUGGGAUUUCCCGGGAGGAAAUGGUCUGAGAGUUGAAAAAUCGGAGUCAUUGAGCCUUCUGUUAGAUGGAUGGGUGGUAAGGGCAUGCUGCAGGUGUUUUCCCUUCAAAGUGCUCAGAGGAAACUGGUCUGGCAUCAUGCUGAUUCCUCUUGAUCAAGGCAGGAAGCAAUGGGGUCAAGGUGACAAAUGGAAUUGGAUCUAUUCCUCUGGCCAACUGGAGAGAUUCAGGCCAGUGAGGGGACUCCUUUAGACAAGGCUUCUGACCACAGAGUCUAAGGGCUUCCCAUAGGAGAGCUGAACCAAACCAGAUGGUCUUUCUUUGACCUGACUCUCCCGUGUGCAAACUCUGUAUUAGUUUUCUAUUGCUACAUAACAAAUUACCACAAAUUUAAUGGCUUAAAAUAACACAUGCCUAUUAUCUCACAGUUUCCAUGGGUCAGGAUUCCAGGCAUGGCUUAGUUGGACCCUCUGCUGAGGUCUCACAAAGCCACAAUUACGAUGUUGGCCACGACUGCAGUUCUCAUAUGGGGCUCUGGGUCCUCCCCCAAGCUUAUUCAAGUUUUUGGCAGCAUUCUGUUCCUUGCAGCUGUAUGAACAAGGUCCCUAUUUUCUUGCUGGAAGCCACUCUCAGUUCAUAAACCCCUUGUAGUCUCUUGUCAUAUAACCCCUAAAAGCAGUUCACAAUCUGGCUAUCUGCAUUUUUUCCAAGCCAGCAGAAGCACAUUUCUCUGACUUCCAAUUGCCUUGCAGUCUGCUACAAGAGUGCCUUAUAGAAUGUAAUACAUCAAGGGAGUGACUAUUCCAUCAUCAUUUGCCACAUGGCAUCGUUUAAUCAAGGGAGCAACUACCUAUCCAUCACAUGCAAAGGUUCUGUCUACAUUCAAAAGGAGGGGAUUAUCCAAGCCAUGUGUACCCGUGGGUGGAACUCUUCAGGAACCCUCUAAAAUUCUGCCCUUCACAAUUUCAGAAAUGUAAGAAUCCAUUCCAGUUUCCAGUGGGGGAAUGACAUUUCUCCUUCUAUGUUAGUUGAGUCACUUUUGUAAAGAACUGGGUAGUAGAGAGUGGAGGGAAGGCAGAUUGUCAAAGGUGUGUGCUUGACAUCACAUUAAAUUAUCCAGAUAAUUAUCUUAGCUUUCUACCUUAAUGAA